UUGGGCUCAGGUCCUGGCAGAAGACCCCACACACUUUGGCUGAAAUCACGGUCGCCCCACCAUUCCUUUUUUAUUGUUUUGGAGACAGGGUCUUGCUAAGUAGCCCAGGCUGGUCUUGAGCCCAUGAGGAUCCUCCUGCCUCAGCCUCCUGAGUGCUGCGAUGACAAUGUUUUGAACAGGUUCAGGACAUCAGGGCAGCCUCUCUGCCUGCCUGCCUGCCUCAGAAGUCUCCGGGGAGGCCUUGAUGGCAGGAAGACCUCUGGAAACACAGUGGACAGGCAUACAGGUGCCAGGUGACAGGUGGGGGACAAGGCAGACCGCCCUGAGAAGGCAGUGUGAACACAGAGCAGAGGAGAUGAUAGCUUGCCAGAUGGAAGUCCGAGAUAGAGCAUGCUGGGCACAGUAGGCACCGUGCAAAGGCCCUGGGGCAGGAGUACUCACUGCACCAUCGGAGCAACCAGGAGCCCAGGAGAGGUGGAGCCAUUGGCUCCUGUGCUCUUGGGUUGAGUGGUUCUGUGACCCCUCUGGUGAAAGCACACGUCCCUCCCUUCCCAAGCUGCCGUCAGGGCUGAGCUGUCCCGGCCGUCUCUUCCCCACCAUCACCACCGCUCGGGGCCUCCGCACAGUUCCGCAAGUGUCCGCCGUGGUGCCAGCACCACCAGCCAUCCAGGCAGCUCGGCAGACAGGAGGCAUCACCUGUGCUUCCUGGCGGGGUGCAGGGCCUGUGGGGCGCGGAGGUGCAUGAGAAAAAGGCCCCAUCCUCUGGAACUCGUCACCAGCUAGGGGAGCUUCAAACAGUGACAACGACAGGAAAAACCGCGUGCGAUGCCUCCGAUGGCACGGCCAGCCUGUCCUCUGCAGCAGGUGACCCAGCGUGGAGGGGGUGUGUCGCGCUUGUCUGCUGAUGCGCCCCUCUGCCUUCGUUUCAUGGGACAGUGUCUUAGUGGAAUCGGGUGCGCUGGGUUCACACACAGGGCUCAGCAGGUGCGUGCUGAACUGACGGAUGGGUGGGGCAGGGUGGAGGACAGAUGGAUGGCAGUGGAUGACCGACGGAUGAACAAAUGGAUGGAUGGAUGAUCGGUGAAUAGAUGGAUGGAGAAUGGAUGGAUGGACAAAUGUUUUGUUUUUGCAGUGCUAGGGACUGAACCCAGGGUCCCGGCAUUCUAAGCCACUCUGCCCCUGAGCGACACCCGCAACCCGGACAGAUGGGCAAGGGACGGACAGCUGGAUACAUGGACGGAUGGAUGUGUAGGUGGGUGGGUGGGAGGGGUGGCAAGCCAGUGGAG